CCUACGGGAGGCAGCAGUAGGGAAUCUUCGGCAAUGGGCGAAAGCCUGACCGAGCAACGCCGCGUGAAUGAAGAAGGCCUUCGGGUUGUAAAAUUCUGUUAUAAGGGAAGACAGGUGAGAGGAGGAAAUGACUAUCAAUUGACGGUACCUUAUGAGAAAGACACGGCUAACUACGUGCCAGCAGCCGAAGUAAUACGUAGGUGGCAAGCGUUAUCCGGAAUUAUUGGGUUUAAAGACCGCGGAGGUGGUCAAUUAAGUCUGAUGUGAAAGCACACGGCUUAACCGUGGAGGGUCAGUGGACACUGGUUGACUUGAGUGCAGAAGAGGGAAGUGGAAUUCCAUGUGUAGCGGUGAAAUGCGUAGAGAUAUGGAGGAACACCAGUUGCGAAGGCGGCUUCCUGGUCUGCAACUGACACUGAGGCGCGAAAGCGUGGGGAGCAAACAGGAUUAGAUACCCGUGUAGUC
rnacentral:rRNA from 1 species